GUGGGGAAUAUUGGACAAUGGGCGAAAGCCUGAUCCAGCCAUGCCGCGUGUGUGAAGAAGGUCUUCGGAUUGUAAAGCACUUUAAGUUGGGAGGAAGGGCAGUAAGUUAAUACCUUGCUGUUUUGACGUUACCGACAGAAUAAGCACCGGCUAACUUCGUGCCAGCAGCCGCGGUAAUACGAAGGGUGCAAGCGUUAAUCGGAAUUACUGGGCGUAAAGCGCGCGUAGGUGGUUUUGUAAGUUGGAGGUGAAAUCCCCGGGCUCAACCUGGGAACUGCCUCCAAAACUGCAUGACUAGAGUACGGUAGAGGGUAGUGGAAUUUCCUGUGUAGCGAUGAAAUGCGUAGAUAUAGGAAGGAACACCAGUGGCGAAGGCGACUACCUGGACUGAUACUGACACUGAGGUGCGAAAGCGUGGGGAGCAAACAGGAUUAGAAACCCGAGUAGUCC
rnacentral:rRNA from 1 species